rnacentral:rRNA from 1 species
CCUACGGGUGGCAGCAGUGGGGAAUAUUGGACAAUGGGGGGAACCCUGAUCCAGCGACGCCGCGUGAGUGAAGAAGUAUUUCGGUAUGUAAAGCUCUAUCAGCAGGGAAGAAAGAAAUGACGGUACCUGACUAAGAAGCCCCGGCUAACUACGUGCCAGCAGCCGCGGUAAUACGUAGGGGGCAAGCGUUAUCCGGAUUUACUGGGUGUAAAGGGAGCGUAGACGGCGAUGCAAGUCUGAAGUGAAAGGCGGGGGCUCAACCCCUGGACUGCUUUGGAAACUGUAUGGCUGGAGUGCAGGAGAGGUAAGUGGAAUUCCUAGUGUAGCGGUGAAAUGCGUAGAUAUUAGGAGGAACACCAGUGGCGAAGGCGGCUUACUGGACUGUAACUGACGUUGAGGCUCGAAAGCGUGGGGAGCAAACAGGAUUAGAUACCCGAGUAGUC